rnacentral:rRNA from 2 species
AUAAUGACUCUCGGCAACGGAUAUCUCGGCUCUCGCAUCGAUGAAGAACGUAGCGAAAUGCGAUACUUGGUGUGAAUUGCAGAAUCCCGUGAACCAUCGAGUCUUUGAACGCAAGUUGCGCCCCAAGCCUUUAGGCCGAGGGCACGCCUGCCUGGGUGUCACACA